rnacentral:rRNA from 1 species
AUGAACGCUGGCGGCGUGCCUAACACAUGCAAGUCGGGAACGGGGCUAUCGCGCUGAUGAUCAAGAUGCUUGCAUUGAGAGAAUCUUGUGGUAGCUUAGUGGCGGACGGGUGAGUAACGUGUGGAUAACCUGGUCCAUCCAGGGGGAUAGCAGCUGGAAACGGCUGGUAAUACCGCAUGAGCGCACACUACCGCAUGGUAGAGUGUGAAAAGAUUUAUCGGGAUGGAAUGGAUCCGCAUCUGAUUAGCCAGUUGGCGGGGUAGAAGCCCACCAAAGCGACGAUCAGUAGCCGGCCUGAGAGGGCGGACGGCCACAUUGGGACUGAGACACGGCCCAAACUCCUACGGGAGGCAGCAGUGGGGAAUAUUGGGCAAUGGGGGGAAAAACCCCCUGACCCAGCAACGCCGCGUGAGGGAAGAAGGUUUUCGGAUCGUAAACCUCUGUCCUUGGUGAAGAGGAAGAGACGGUAGCCAAGGAGGAAGCCCCGGCUAACUACGUGCCAGCCGCAGC